UCUGCUCAUACCCCAUGGUUUCU
rnacentral:miRNA from 3 species